rnacentral:tRNA from 1 species
AGAGGAUAGCUUAAUGUGGUAGAGUGUGUGCUUAGUAUGCACAAGGUCCUGGGUUCAAUCCUCAGUACCUCCU